rnacentral:rRNA from 1 species
UACGAAGGUGGCAAGCGUUGUUCGGAUUCACUGGGCGUACAGGGUGUGUAGGCGGUUUGGUAAGCCUUCUGUUAAAGCUUCGGGCCCAACCCGGAAAGCGCAGAGGGUACUGCCAGGCUAGAGGACGGGAGAGGAGCGUGGAAUUCCCGGUGUAGCGGUGAAAUGCGCAGAUAUCGGGAGGAACACCUAUGGCGAAGGCAGCUCGCUGGGACGUUACUGACGCUGAGACGCGAAAGCGUGGGGAGCAAACAGG